GCCAGACUCCUACGGGAGGCAGCAGUGGGGAAUAUUGCACAAUGGGGGAAACCCUGAUGCAGCGACGCCGCGUGAGUGAAGAAGUAUUUCGGUAUGUAAAGCUCUAUCAGCAGGGAAGAAAAUGACGGUACCUGAUUAAGAAGCCCCGGCUAACUACGUGCCAGCAGCCGCGGUAAUACGUAGGGGGCAAGCGUUAUCCGGAUUUACUGGGUGUAAAGGGAGCGUAGACGGUGAUGCAAGUCAGAAGUGAAAGCCCGGGGCUCAACUCCGGGACUGCUUUUGAAACUGUGUGACUGGAGUGCAGGAGAGGUAAGCGGAAUUCCUGGUGUAGCGGUGAAAUGCGUAGAUAUCAGGAGGAACACCAGUGGCGAAGGCGGCUUACUGGACUGUAACUGACGUUGAGGCUCGAAAGCGUGGGGAGCAAACAGGAUUAGAUACCCGGGUAA
rnacentral:rRNA from 1 species